UGGGGGUGGUGGAACUCUGUGAUGCCUCGGAAAGCUUGGAAGGGAUUAAGGAGCAGAACUCGUGGAUUUAGGCAGCAAUAAAAGGCAACCCGGUCACCCUCUGCUGUCACAUCUGCAGCUGGCCCUACAGAAGCACCCUGCAAAUGACCCGGGAGGUGGCUGUUAACGACCCCCGCCCCGGUUGCUGCCGGGGACCCUGCGGUGGGCACCCCUCGGACACUUCGAACUCCUGAUGGCUGCUGAGCUGCCAAGUCAGGUGCACGGUGGGGCGGGGGGGAGGUGGAGGUGUCCACAGCACAGCACCCCCCACUCCACCCUAUGCUCCAAACUGUCGCCCGCUAGCAGCAUCCUCAUCCCCGCCCUGCUCCCCUCCACCGCCCCCAGACCCCCGGCUGAGUGCCGGGACCAGGCGGAGGUGACAGCAAGCCCUGGAGCUGCAAGAGCGGCGAUCCCCCUCCCGGCCCCGAAUCGCUCCCCGCUACUGACCUUGAGCCCCGGGGCCGCGGGUGCAGUAGUCUCCAAAGCAGCCUUCAGAGCUUUGUUCUCCUCCAGCUGGGUCACAAGCCUAUCAGGAAACAAAACUGAGAGAAGUGAAUGUUGCAGUAGUUGAGGAGGGGCUUGCAGUGUGUGCCACUGAGCCGUAUGUGGUGUGUAGCAUACAGCACUCCCAGUUCCCUACCUGUGCUUCAUGGGCUGAUUCACAGUCACCCCAGGAAGAAUUUUUCUGCAGACUGUGAUGAACUUCACUGCUUUGUCAGAGGACAGGGGACAGUGGCUGUGCCUGAGGAUGGCAGAUUGGCCCUCCUGUGCUUAGGUGAAGAUAUUAUUGAUUCACACUCCUGUGUAAGCGAAAUCAGAAGCUCCAGCUGCAAGCUACCAACCUGAAUUUGGCAGCCACCACAUAGGAAAACCUCCACACCUCUGCCACGGCUCAGGCAGCUUCUCAGAGUGAUCCCCUUGCUGUUGCACGUCCUUAAAAUAUCUGCAGGAGGUGGGCUGAUCCCUUCUCUCUGCUCUACUCACUCUACCCCACCACGAUACAGAAUCUGCAGGGUGGAGUUGAAGAGAAACAAACUGCAGGUCACUUGGAUAGGACUGGAUCUGUCUCUCUAGGAUUUAUGGUUCCUCAAGUUGUCUAGAGGAGGAUUACAGACUGCAAGAUGCUUUUCCUCUGAUGCUACUUGUGUGGUGAGCAGGAGAAAUUUGGGAAUGAAAUGGUCUUUUACAAGAGAAAUUCAGCUGUGCUGAGCUACAGGCCACAACUAGGGGAGUGGACCAGGACAUUGAAGUACCAGCACUGUUAGCUCUCAGGUGCAGAGCUUAUCCUCAGCUUCAUGACUCCUCCACCAGGGACUUUGGGAACUAUUUGCAGAGAGACAUCUCUGAAGCUAAGCAGGAAAAAGGAGAACACCACUCUUGCCAGAUCUGGAGUAACUCCUACUCUGCUCUUUCUCACUUUGCUUCAUCCCAGCACAAGUGGAGUCAGGACACAAUCCCUGUCCUGGGGAAAGAGGCAGCAGCAUUUGACCGCUCCACAAACUCACUUUACGUUGCUGGUGGUUGGGGUUAAGUCUGACAAAGGUCACACUCACGGAGAGGCUGACAGAGCUAAACAGAAAAGGAAGAGCAGCGUUCAAGACCUUCAGCUGAGAAACAAAAGCAGCACUGUACAGAAAUGAGUAGCCAUCCAUUUGUUAGAAACCCCCAAGGCAAGCAAGGCCAGAAGGAGAGAAAGAUGGAAAAAGAAGUCAGAGAAGAGCCAAGAACAAGCUGGGCUUCAAACUGUGUAGGAAUUCUGCAGACCAAUGGAAUGGGACAAACAUACCUCUUAUGUUUUCUUCACCCCCUUUGAGAGUCCAACCCCCUGGGCUCCCUCUAAUUCUCUGGAAAACUUCUAGUUACAAUUUACAACUGAGACAGUAGUGUUAAACCUCUAACAAGUAUCAAGUCCCCUCGAGGAAAAUUCUGUUGAAAUUAGAGAGGCUUUGCCCAAACUCACAGUACAGAAUUGCAGCUUCCCAAACUGCACCAGCCUAUGUAGUGUGCAGCCUGAGAGCCAGCUGCCUGCUAACUCUUACAGACAGGAUUUGCUGAUGUGCAAAACCUUCACUUUUGAUGUAUUUCAUCUCCAUUUCUCAUCUUUCUCUGCAAAGGCUGAAGAA